rnacentral:misc_RNA from 1 species
UGCUACUGCUACUGCUGCUGCUGCUGCUGAGUUCGAUCAACACUGGAGGCCCCUUAGAAACGCUGUCGUUCCCUCGAUUCGGUUCGGGGGUAGGCAAGAUCUCGAUGAUCUCCUUCUUUAUGGCAAAGUCCAUGAAUCCUUUUUCGUCCCUUGUCUAGAAACGUAAGAGAUACUUUUGAAUUCAAUUGCCUUUGCAUGAGAGAUUCCGAUUCUUGGGGAAAAAACAAAAAAGAAGUUCUGCAGGACGCUGUGAGGGUUGCAGGGCCGGGGACUAAAGUGCUGGCCGUCGGAUUGCAGCACUUCUCUCGGUUUCCGUGCAACAGUGUAUCUAUUGAUAAGAACCGAUUUGGC